GCAGUCCAUCUCCAGAACUCUUUUCAUCCUGCAGAUCUGAAACUCUAGCCCACAAAACACCAACUCCACUCCCCAGCCACUGGUGCCCACCGUUGUUUCUGUCUCUGAAUUUGACUCCUCUAGGGACCUCCCAUAAGUGGAAUCAUACAAUAUUUGUCCUUUUGUGCUUGGCUUAUUUCACUGAGCGUAAUGUUCUCUAGGUUCACCUGUGUUGUAGCAAACGUCAGACUUUCCCUCCUUUUGAAGGCUGAGUAAUAUUCUGUUGUGUGGAUGGAGCACGCAUUGUUUAUCCACUCACCUGUUGACGCAUGCCUGGGUCGUUUCCACCUUUCGGCCUGUGUGAAUGGUGCUGCUCUGAACAGGGGUGAAGACGUAUCUGGGCGUCUGCUUUCAGUUCUUUUGGGUGUAUACCCAGAAGUGGGCUUGCUGGGUCACGUGGUAAAUCCUGUGGUUGAUUUUUUGAGGACGCACCAUACUGUUUUCGGUGGGACAUCUGUUGGGUUUUGAGAAGCACCUGCUGGCACUGAGAGCUGUCUUGGGGAACACAGGUGCUCCUGCCGGAGUCCUCACGCUCUGCUCACGUUGCAGAAGGCCCCCUGGUAAGGCCAGCCAGCCGGAGGACCACCCCGCAGACCACACGCCCAGGGCCUGGCACCGAGGGGGAGGCCCCGAUCAGCAGGUGAAAGCGACACCCUGAUGACACUGGCUAGUUCACCUUCACUCUGGUCAUCGUUUACUGUACCCCGGGGCAGCUCCCGCCUGAGCCCUAUGACCCCAACCGCCGCAGCCUCUGGCUGCCUCACUGGCCCAUCAUUAAUACGUCGAUGGUGAGCGCACUGGUGUACAGCGAGGGGGCUCCACUUCCGAGACCCCUGGAGAGGCCCGUCCUGGUGGAGUUCACCCUGCUGGAGAUGGAGAAGCGAACCAAGCCUGUCUGUGUGUUCUGGAACCAUUCCCUGGCGUAAAUGUGAUGCCGGGAGUUCUGCAUCUUCAUGUGAGGGCUUUGCCAAGACACAGAGAACCCGCAGGGUUGUUGGCUCAGCGGCAGAUCGUCCCACGGGGACAGUCUCUUGUGGUCUGUGUCUCCCCCUUCAGCCCCCUGUGGGGCAGUGAGCCUCCUGCUCUGCUUCUGUGGGUGCAUCAGAGCCCCCCCAGAUGCCCACACGCAGACGCGCACAGGCCUGCACGUGGAAACACAGACAUGCGCACACGCAGGCCCACACACAGACGCACACAGAGCUGCACGUGGAGACACGUGCGCACACGCAGGCCCACACGCAGGCCCACACACAGGUGCACGCGGACCUGCACGUGGAGACACAGAUGUGUGCACAUGCAGGCCCACACACAGGUGAGCGUGGACCUGUGUGAACAGAUGCGCGCAGACCUGCACGUGGAGACACAGACAUGCAGGCGCACAAAGAGAUCCCUCAAGGCUGACACCCAGGAAGGGGCCUCUCACUUGUGGGACUCCCGAGAUGCAGUGGCCAACACGAGUGUAGUGCCCAGUUCACUGCUGGAUAAGACAGAGGCCUGUUCUGGUCACACAUGGGAGGCAGAACCCAGAGACUGGGCCCAGGAGCCCUUCUGCUGACAGUGGGAACUCCCAGCUACGUGUGGGGGUCCCCAUACCAGACAAAGGUCCCUGACCUUAGUCUUGCCCGAGAGGCCGACACAGCCCAGCUUUGGGGUCUGGCUUUACCCACAAGAGGCCACACCUUGCCACAGCACUGUUUAUCUGGCCUGUUUCAGAAGCACCGUCAGAGUGGCGAAGGCAGGAGGUGGUGCACGAGAGUCUACGUUCUAGCAUCCAUUCAAGUGAGGGAAAGGCGUUUCGUACUUAGAAAAAUGCAAAAUUAAUGAUUCUCACCCACACAUGAGACUGUGGAUUCACCCAUGUAUGAGAUAGUGGAUUCAGAGCCAUGCUGUGGCUCUCAUCUGCUGGGAGCCAGUAGUGUUUGUGCUUUGGUUUUGCUUUUUUAGCUACAUGGUUUAUGUGAGGUGCGGACUUACUUGAGUUGCUCUGUCUUUACAGGGAGCUUGCUUUUUCUCUGCUGGUUUGUUUUCACUUUUGCUGUCUCUGUUUAGAAGAAAACAUUAGAACUGGGGUGUGGUGGAAGGAUGGGAGCACAAUCUGGGAGGGGAAGACCUGCUCUCUCUCCACAUACCAGGAGGGAGUGGCAGGAAGGGGAGACACUGUGCCGGACUCAGGGAGUCAAGAGCGUGAGCACCCCCAGGCUUCAAUCUGCUGAACGUUGUGCAUCUGGGGGCGCCCGUGCAGCAGGAACACUCUCCCCAUCACAAUUCCUCUGGGCACAGUGGAGAGCCAUGAGUGGGGGCUGUCCUGGGGGCUGCGCUAUGGUGAGUGAGCCCACGCCAGGAGCCAGUUCAGCCCAGCCUCAUUCUUCUCCUGCUUCUUUGCUUUCCAAGUUCUAGUUCAUAAGCAACCAGCACAGUACCUGGAAUGUAAGAGGCGCUUGGCUUAUAAAAGAGAGAAGAAAGGAACCCCUUUCACCACGAGGGACGUCAGGCCCAGCUCUCUGUCCCGGGCAUUCAUCUUUUUUCCGGCAAUUAGCUUCAGCUCUAAUGACCUGCUGUCUGCUUUAUGUUGCACCUAUGAUUUCCAGAUUGUAAAGUUUGUGGCAAAUGUAUUAACGUUCACAUCCCAUUUACAGAUUAGCAAACUAAGGAUCUGAGAGGUUAUGUGAUUUUCCCAGUCUGGCGGAGGGCAGGGCCCUGUCAGAAGCCGAGACACACCUCGUAACAGCUUGUUAUUUGGGGCUUCCCAUCAGUGAGGCAGGAGUCAUAAUGGGGCCCUGGCUUCUGGGCAAUUCCCAUAAAACAUUGUGCCACCUGAAGAUGGAAGUGUCAGAGGAAGGCGAGAUGUUAUUUCUGAAAGCAUCUACCCUCAGAAAGAGACAGAGGAGUGCAUCGCAGCUGUGUGAACCCGGGGUGGUGGUGGUUCCAGCAGCGGGGCACGUGGUGGACGCAAGACGGCCCCGUUUGAGUUUUGCUGCUAGGUGACAUGUAGAACUUGAACUUCAGAGGGUGCUCCUUGGAGGCCCUGAUGAGAGAGACACAGAAGGGAAGGGAGACUGUUCCCAUGGUCCUGCCUCUGCGGCAGCGAGCCUGCUGCUCUUGCAGCUGGGUGGCUGUUCGGUGCAGGGGGCCGGUGAGGAACACGGUGGGGAGCAGCCUGCGAGGGCGCCGGGCUUUCAGCACUCACUAUACCUGCUGUUUGGUUUGGCCAGGAUGGCCUGGGAGUCCCCAGGGCCGGGCAAAGACUGCCCCCAACAGACAUGGGCGGAGGGAACCGUCUCACCCCUGCCUCUUCUCCCUUCUCUACGCAGUGUCAGUGGGACGGGAGGGUGGUCUGCCCGGGGCUUCAAGCUCCUGUCCAGGAACCGGACCCAUGUCGUACGCCAGUGCAGCCACACGGCCAGCUUCGAGGUGCUCAUGGACGUCUCCAGGUGUGAGAUGGGCAUCUUCUUGUGGCCACUAUGCCCGCUGAGCCUACCCCCAAACCUGCCCCUCCUCAAACUAAAUCUUCCAUUCUAAGCGCUUUGAACGAAGCAAAUCAACCAAUUAAAAAAAUAUAUUCCAGGAUUGGCC
rnacentral:lncRNA from 1 species